rnacentral:rRNA from 1 species
CCAGACUCCUACGGGAGGCAGCAGUGGGGAAUAUUGCGCAAUGGGCGAAAGCCUGACGCAGCGACGCCGCGUGAGGGAUGGAGGUCUUUGGAUCGUAAACCUCUGUCAGCAGGGAAGAACGGUCACUGUGCUAAUCAGCAGUGAAUUGACGGUACCUGAGUAAGAAGCACCGGCUAAAUACGUGCCAGCAGCCGCGGUAAUACGUAUGGUGCAAGCGUUAUCCGGAUUUACUGGGUGUAAAGGGAGCGUAGACGGCAUGGCAAGUCAGAUGUGAAAUCCUAUGGCUUAACCAUAGAACUGCAUUUGAAACUGUUAUUCUAGAGUAUGGGAGAGGUAGGGGGAAUUCUUGGUGUAGGGGUAAAAUCCGUAGAGAUCAAGAGGAAUACUCAUUGCGAAGGCGACCUGCUAGAACAUAACUGACGCUGAUGCGCGAAAGCGUGGGGAGCAAACAGGAUUAGAUACCCUUGUA